GGUGUGACGCAGGAAGGUAGCUGAGCCGGGCGAUGGUUGUCCCGGUCUAAGGAUGUAGGGCAGAAGAUAGGCAAAUCCGUCUUCUAUGUAGCCUGAGACCCGAUGGGUAGUCCUCACGGACGAAAUCAGUGAUCCUAUGCUGCCGAGAAAAGC
rnacentral:rRNA from 1 species